rnacentral:rRNA from 1 species
CAGUAGCCGCGGUAAUACGUAGGGUGCAAGCGUUAAUCGGAAUUACUGGGUGUAAAGCGUGCGCAGGCGGUUCGUUAAGACAGAUGUGAAAUCCCCGGGCUUAACCUGGGAACUGCAUUUGUGACUGGCGGGCUAGAGUAUGGCAGAGGGGGGUAGAAUUCCACGUGUAGCAGUGAAGUGCGUAGGGAUGUGGAGGAGUACCGAUGGCGAAGGCAGCCCCCUGGGCCAAUACUGACGCUCAUGCACGAAAGCGUGGGGAGCAAACAGGAUUAGAUACCCCAGUAGUCCCUGUCUCUUAUAC